GUGGCAAACAAAUGACUCCAAGGUCACAAUUUGGGGGAACAUUAUGGGAGAACUAAACAACCAGAAGUCACAUAUUUGGUAUUCCUUGUGGUCUGUUUCCUUGGGAACCUUAUGGCAAGGGACAACUGUGGUCUGGAGCAAGAUUCAGGUGUUAUCAGGUGUCUCAAUGGUGAAAUGGAUCCAUGGGAAAGGGAGAAGUGGACUUGCAUUGUGCAUACAAUGAACUGAGGAGAACUUGUGGUCCUCUCUACCUAUGGAGAGGUAGGUUGGAUAUGGAUACCUAUGGAUAGAAGGUUGAGGCCAUGGUUCUCAGAUCUCUUCCAGCCCUGAUAGCCUAUGAUUUCAUGAUCUUUUAGGUGCACCGGAACUGCUAUUUUUGGUGUAGGGUUUCUGUGCCUAUAAUUUAAGGGAGUUUCUCCUUCAUAGUUCUCCAGGAAACUUACAACACAGAUUUGGAUAACAUGCUUCAGCUAAUGGGAUAUAAAAAUAGAUACUUAUAAUAAUUUUAUUAAUGAUAUAAACUUUUAUAUGCCAAAAUAAAAUUGUUUAACAUAGGUGUAUUUAAUCUUAA
rnacentral:lncRNA from 1 species